GCUAAGAAUAUUCCGCAAUGGACGAAAGUCUGACGGAGCGACGCCGCGUGGAUGAAGAAGGCCGAAAGGUUGUAAAAUCCUUUUGUCGGGGAAGAAUAAGCGUGGGAGGGAAUGCCCGCGUGAUGACAUGAACCGGCGAAUAAGCCCCGGCUAACUACGUGCCAGCAGCCGCGGUAACACGUAGGGGGCAAGCGUUGUUCGGAAUUACUGGGCGUAAAGGGCAUGUAGGCGGUUUUGUAAGCCUGGCGUGAAAUUCUGCAGCUUAACUGUAGGACUGCGCUGGGAACUGCGAGACUGGAGUCACGGAGAGGGAGCCAGAAUUCCAGGUGUAGGGGUGAAAUCUGUAGAUAUCUGGAAGAAUACCAAUGGCGAAGGCAGGCUUCUGGCCGAUGACUGACGCUGAGGUGCGAAAGCGUGGGUAGCAAACAGGAUUAGAAACCCGGGUAGUCC
rnacentral:rRNA from 1 species